AAAUGAAUAGACGGGGACCCGCACAACCAGUGGAGCAUGUGGUUUAAUUCGAGACGAACCGAAGAACCUUACCUGGACUUGACAUCCCGACGACCGUUCUAGAGAUAGAAUUUUCACUAUGUGACGUCGGUGACAGGUGCUGCAUGGCUAUCGUCAGCUCGUGCCGUAGGGUGUUCCCUUCAGUGGGGUAACGAGCGCAACCCUUGCCGUAUGUUAAAUUGUUCAUACGGGACUGGUCGCCUUUGGCGACAGGAAGCGGGGACGAUGUUAAGUCAGCAUGGCCCUUAUGUCCAGGGCUACACACAUGCUACAAUGGAGCCGACAGAGGGUUGCCAAAGAGCAAUCUGGAGCUAAUCCCAAAAACGGCUUCUCAGUUGGGAUUGAGGGCUGCAAUUCGCCCUCAUGAACGCGGAAUUGGUAGUAAUCGCAAAUCAGCUAAGUUGCGGUGAAUACGUUCUCGGGUCUUGUACACACCGCCCGU
rnacentral:rRNA from 1 species